UCCAGACUCCUACGGGAGGCAGCAGUGGGGAAUAUUGCACAAUGGGGGAAACCCUGAUGCAGCGACGCCGCGUGAGUGAAGAAGUAUUUCGGUAUGUAAAGCUCUAUCAGCAGGGAAGAAAAUGACGGUACCUGACUAAGAAGCCCCGGCUAACUACGUGCCAGCAGCCGCGGUAAUACGUAGGGGGCAAGCGUUAUCCGGAUUUACUGGGUGUAAAGGGAGCGUAGACGGCAUGGCAAGUCAGAUGUGAAAGCCCGGGGCUCAACCCCGGGACUGCAUUUGAACCUGUCAGGCUGGAGUGCAGGAGAGGUAAGUGGAAUUCCUAGCGUAGCGGUGAAAUGCGUAGAUAUUAGGAGGAACACCAGUGGCGAAGGCGGCUUACUGGACUGUAACUGACGUUGAGGCUCGAAAGCGUGGGGAGCAAACAGGAUUAGAUACCCUGGUAGC
rnacentral:rRNA from 1 species